AUGAGGAGAACCACUGCCGGGGCGCGCCCGGCCGCAUCCGAGGCGGGGCGAGGCGGGACGAGGCGAGGCGCGGCGCGGCGGGGCGGGCGCUGGCCGGGCGGCGCGUUGGCCGGCAGCCAUCUUGGCUCGGGCCCGCGCCCCGCCGUGCCGUUGGUGGCCUCGCCCAAAAUGGCGGCCGGGGCGUUAGCGCCGCUGCGGGUGGCGGCGCGGGUGUCCGCAGCGCGGCUGUUGUCACAGAGGGCCCGCUCGAGGGGCGGAGAGCCCCAGCGACGGAGAAUACCAGAAAGUGCUGGUACUAAAGUCCCAGGUGAUCCAGAAGUAAAUAGAGUUUUCCUGCUGGUUGCUUUAUACCUGACUGACCUUCUAAUCAAAACAAGAUUUAUACUGGUCAUGUGAAUUUUUAUCAGCGAGUGAAUGAAAGUGCAGUGUUUUUGCAGCUCGUGGAGUGUUUGUUGUCUAUUACAUGUAGUUAUAUUGAAUUUCAGAGUAUCCUGUUGUGGUGCAGUAACUUGUUUUGAUCGGCUACUUAUACUAUCAUCUGUUGGGAGACAGAAACAUCGUUUUCUCUCAGUUUCGUAUGCUUUAUUUCACAUUUUAUGAACCCUUACUUUGUAUUUUAUAUCUUUUGUUUCUUCUGAAAGUAAGACAGUCUUCAGAUUCCUUUUUUUUUUUCUUGAGUGGUUGUUUUGUCUUUACUGUUAUCUUUCUUUGAAUUUCUCUGUUGGAAGCAUCUGUUUUCUUAUGGGGGUAGUACAUCAGUAUUGUGGAAGCAAGUAAGGCUCUUUUAAAUAAACUGGCAUUUUUAUGUUUUAUUUCUUCUCA
rnacentral:lncRNA from 1 species